rnacentral:rRNA from 1 species
GAGUUUGAUCCUGGCUCAGGACGAACGCUGGCGGCGUGCUUAACACAUGCAAGUCGAGCGAUGAAGCUUCCUUCGGGAAGUGGAUUAGCGGCGGACGGGUGAGUAACACGUGGGUAACCUGCCUCAAAGUGGGGGAUAGCCUUCCGAAAGGAAGAUUAAUACCGCAUAAUAUAAGAGAAUCGCAUGAUUUUUUUAUCAAAGAUUUAUUGCUUUGAGAUGGACCCGCGGCGCAUUAGCUAGUUGGUAAGGUAACGGCUUACCAAGGCAACGAUGCGUAGCCGACCUGAGAGGGUGAUCGGCCACAUUGGAACUGAGACACGGUCCAGACUCCUACGGGAGGCAGCAGUGGGGAAUAUUGCGCAAUGGGGGAAACCCUGACGCAGCAACGCCGCGUGGGUGAUGAAGGUCUUCGGAUUGUAAAGCCCUGUUUUCUAGGACGAUAAUGACGGUACUAGAGGAGGAAGCCACGGCUAACUACGUGCCAGCAGCCGCGGUAAUACGUAGGUGGCGAGCGUUGUCCGGAUUUACUGGGCGUAAAGGGUGCGUAGGCGGAUGUUUAAGUGGGAUGUGAAAUCCCCGGGCUUAACCUGGGGGCUGCAUUCCAAACUGGAUAUCUAGAGUGCAGGAGAGGAAAGCGGAAUUCCUAGUGUAGCGGUGAAAUGCGUAGAGAUUAGGAAGAACACCAGUGGCGAAGGCGGCUUUCUGGACUGUAACUGACGCUGAGGCACGAAAGCGUGGGUAGCAAACAGGAUUAGAUACCCUGGUAGUCCACGCCGUAAACGAUGGAUACUAGGUGUAGGGGGUAUCAACUCCCCCUGUGCCGCAGUUAACACAAUAAGUAUCCCGCCUGGGGAGUACGGUCGCAAGAUUAAAACUCAAAGGAAUUGACGGGGGCCCGCACAAGCAGCGGAGCAUGUGGUUUAAUUCGAAGCAACGCGAAGAACCUUACCUGGACUUGACAUCCCUUGCAUAGCCUAGAGAUAGGUGAAGCCCUUCGGGGCAAGGAGACAGGUGGUGCAUGGUUGUCGUCAGCUCGUGUCGUGAGAUGUUAGGUUAAGUCCUGCAACGAGCGCAACCCUUGUUAUUAGUUGCUACCAUUAAGUUGAGCACUCUAAUGAGACUGCCUGGGUAACCAGGAGGAAGGUGGGGAUGACGUCAAAUCAUCAUGCCCCUUAUGUCCAGGGCUACACACGUGCUACAAUGGUAGGUACAAUAAGACGCAAGACCGUGAGGUGGAGCAAAACUUAUAAAACCUAUCUCAGUUCGGAUUGUAGGCUGCAACUCGCCUACAUGAAGCUGGAGUUGCUAGUAAUCGCGAAUCAGAAUGUCGCGGUGAAUACGUUCCCGGGCCUUGUACACACCGCCCGUCACACCAUGAGAGCUGGUAACACCCGAAGUCCGUGAGGUAACCGUAAGGAACCAGCGGCCGAAGGUGGGAUUAGUGAUUGGGGUGAAGUCGUAACAAGGUAGCCGUAGGAGAACCUGCGGCUGGAUCACC